UGCAGUCGAACGAGAGCUUCGGCCUUAGUGGCGCACGGGUGCGUAACGCGUGGGAAUCUGCCCCUUGGUUCGGAAUAACAGUUGGAAACGACUGCUAAUACCGGAUGAUGACGUAAGUCCAAAGAUUUAUCGCCGAGGGAUGAGCCCGCGUAAGAUUAGCUAGUUGGUGUGGUAAAGGCGCACCAAGGCGACGAUCUUUAGCUGGUCUGAGAGGAUGAUCAGCCACACUGGGACUGAGACACGGCCCAGACUCCUACGGGAGGCAGCAGUGGGGAAUAUUGGACAAUGGGCGAAAGCCUGAUCCAGCAAUGCCGCGUGAGUGAUGAAGGCCUUAGGGUUGUAAAGCUCUUUUACCCGGGAUGAUAAUGACAGUACCGGGAGAAUAAGCUCCGGCUAACUCCGUGCCAGCAGCCGCGGUAAUACGGAGGGAGCUAGCGUUAUUCGGAAUUACUGGGCGUAAAGCGCACGUAGGCGGCUUUGUAAGUUAGAGGUGAAAGCCUGGAGCUCAACUCCAGAAUUGCCUUUAAGACUGCAUCGCUUGAAUCCAGGAGAGGUGAGUGGAAUUCCGAGUGUAGAGGUGAAAUUCGUAGAUAUUCGGAAGAACACCAGUGGCGAAGGCGGCUCACUGGACUGGUAUUGACGC
rnacentral:rRNA from 1 species